rnacentral:rRNA from 1 species
UUUGAAAUCUGGCCCUCGGGUCCGAGUUGUAAUUUGUAGAGGAUGCUUUUGGUGCGGUGCCUUCCGAGUUCCCUGGAACGGGACGCCUUAGAGGGUGAGAGCCCCGUACGGUUGGACGCCUAGCCUCUGUAAAGCUCCUUCGACGAGUCGAGUAGUUUGGGAAUGCUGCUCUAAAUGGGAGGUAUAUUUCUUCUAAAGCUAAAUACUGGCCAGAGACCGAUAGCGCACAAGUAGAGUGAUCGAAAGAUGAAAAGCACUUUGAAAAGAGGGUUAAAUAGCACGUGAAAUUGUUGAAAGGGAAGCGUUUAUCACCAGACUUUUUCUGGGGGGAUCAUCCGGUGUUCUCACCGGUGCACUUCCCCCAGUUGAGGCCAGCAUCGGUUUUCGGAGGGGGAUAAAAGCUUCGGGAAUGUGGCUCCCUCGGGAGUGUUAUAGCCCGU